rnacentral:rRNA from 1 species
AACGUAGGAGACGAACAUUAUCCGGAGUUACUGGGCGUAAAGGGCGUGUAGGCGGUUUGUUAAGUCUGGCGUGAAAGCUCUCGGCUAAACCGGGAGAGGUCGUUGGAUACUGGCAAACUAGAGGAUGGUAGAGGCGUGUGGAAUUCCGGGUGUAGUGGUGAAAUGCGUAGAGAUCCGGAGGAACACCAGUGGCGAAGGCGACACGCUGGGCCAUACCUGACGCUAAAGCGCGACAGCAUGGGGAGCAAACGGG